CAGGGGUGUAUGAAAUAAAAAUCGACAACGAAGAUACAAAACAAGAAGAAAUUUAUAUUGGUUCAACUAUGAGAUUCAUAAAUAAAAGAAUAAAAGAACAUAAAGCAGAUAGGCAAAGUGAGAAAACAACGACAGCAUUAGCGCAGAGACUAACGACGUUUAACGCGACACUGAAAUGGAACAAAACAAAAGCCAUAAAUAAUAUAACAGAUCCAGAAAAAUUAAAAGCAGCAGAAGCGAUGGAAAUAUACCAUAAAAGGGCAUUGGGUAUAAAUGUGAUUGAUUAUAACGAACCAUAGAAAAUAAGUUUAGUGUGGCAAUAUAAAUAUAGAAAAGAUUACAACAAAGAGAAAUAAAAAAUCCAUAGGUGGCGUUAGUGUAAAAAAUACGAUAAAGGGACAUUAAUAUUAAUUGUAAAUAAAAAUUAAAAGGGUAUUAGUAUAAUUAUAGGUAAUGAUAGGAUGAAGCAUAGAAACUGAACUGUAAUAUAGACUACAAGAAUUCCAC
rnacentral:lncRNA from 1 species